AUGUUUGAUUGGCAGGAUGGUAGGGUGGACAAGAAACAAGUGGAGGAAGAAGAACUUGAGAAGAAGAAGAAGGAGCUAGAGGAGAAAGCCAUGUUGGAGGUGCAGAUGGAAAAGCUCAAACUUGCAAAAGAGCAGAGGUGCAUUUUGCAGAGCCAAGCUGAUAUCAUCAAGAACACUAGGAAGGCUAUGAAGGAUGUUGAAGUUGACAGAGAUGUUCUUAAGAAGGAGAAGGCAAUGCUUGAGCUUCUUGUUGCUGAGAUGCUGAAUGAUGGGUAUGGCAGCAAGGAGAAGUUAGAGCAAAUCAAGGCCAUCCUUGAGACUUGA
rnacentral:rRNA from 1 species